rnacentral:other from 1 species
GUUGCCCUGCUGUGAUCGCUAACUGAAUAAGUUUUGACCCAACACUUUUCCAAAAAGGAAAUUGAUCUCCGGGUGUGAAAUGCAAGCCUGUGGUUUUCCGAAAGGUUUGCCUAAAAUUAACAGCGAUGUUAAUUAACUGGACGCAUGAAGCAUUCGGGUAAAUAUCCACCUGUUUGAGGGUCGGAUUCAAAACUUGUUGUUUGCGGCAUAGCAGGGUUAUU